UUAGGCACAGCAAAUUCAAAUGCUAUUUAUUGAAGGCUGGAGGUGUCCAGGCUCUUGCGGCUUGUGGAAUGCUCCCCUCUUCCCCACCCUGCUCCCCACUCUCCCAGUCCUCACCCCCCACUGGCAAAUGAACUUGCGUUUCCUUCCAUGCAAGUCCACUGAAAUCAGGAUAUUAGUUAUAUUUGAAGCGACAUGUUCUAAAGUUACUCGGAAAGAAAAAGGUAUCAGUUUUCCAUCAAGGCACUUCCCAUCUCAGACGUGGUCCUGGGGAUGUGCCCCUGACACCGAAACCAGCAGACCCUGCCUGUGGCUAUGAACGGGGCUGCAGGUGAUGAAUGGGGCACUCCGGCGUUCUGAGAACUGAGCACAGGGGCACCAGGCCCUAAGUGAGUUCUGCUCCGGGGUGGCCGGGCCCGAGAGCACUGACGUCCAACAGGAGUGUCGCUGCCCACCGCCUCCCACAAGAGGACACUUCGAUUUGCCAGAGAAGGGCAGAGUGGGAGAUGACUUUUUCUCAGCAUCUUGCCUCGUUUUCCUCUUCCCAGAGGUUUGUUUUUAAGGAAGUUUAAGCUUGCUGCA
rnacentral:lncRNA from 1 species